rnacentral:rRNA from 1 species
GCACCAGUGGGGAAUAUUGGGCAAUGGAGGAAACUCUGACCCAGCGACGCCGCGUGCGGGAUGAAGGCCUUCGGGUUGUAAACCGCUUUCAGCAGGGAAGAAGCGAAAGUGACGGUACCUGCAGAAGAAGCACCGGCUAACUAUGUGCCAGCAGCCGCGGUAAUACAUAGGGUGCAAGCGUUGUCCGGAAUUAUUGGGCGUAAAGAGCUCGUAGGUGGUUCGUCACGUCGGAUGUGAAACUCUGGGGCUUAACCCCAGACCUGCAUUCGAUACGGGCGAGCUUGAGUAUGGUAGGGGAGUCUGGAAUUCCUGGUGUAGCGGUGGAAUGCGCAGAUAUCAGGAGGAACACCAAUGGCGAAGGCAGGACUCUGGGCCAUUACUGACACUGAGGAGCGAAAGCGUGGGGAGCGAACAGGAUUA